CAUACUCUGAAGGUUAUUGAAUUUACAGCAUUUGUAAGGAUGUUUGUUGAUUAUCUAUCAUCUUUGCAACAGAAGAGUGCAGAAAUACGAUUUGUUGAGGCCUAGGUUCAACAUCCGAGACAUUCGGCUUCGGUUUGGAGACCAUAGCAAUACUUAUUUGGAACUAUUGUUGAGCAAGAUGGCGAUUUAACAAGCAGAGGUGGCAUUAAGAACACGGAAGUUCACCGGGGCUUCUGAGGAGUAUGUGAUCUGCAGUGGUUUCAGCUUGGUGACGGGUUUGUUGAGGGUGCACAUUCCACUACUGUCCACCUCCACGAAACUCGCAUCCGGAUGCAGAAUGCUGUUCUGGAGUCCAUCGCAUAAAACAUGCACAUUCGUCAUCUUACAGGAACAUGACGUCUGGAACACUGCUGCGUAGACCUGUUGGUUUUGGAUUACAUCGCCUCCAAUCUUCAAAACCAUGACUGAUAUGUCAGACUUGUCGCAAGAUCUUUCGGCAUCACCUGCAUGCUUUCAAAGAACUAUUGAUCAGGGCUAAGCUGGAGUUCACCCAAAACCAAGGAGGAUCUGUACAUGAUUAUGAGUGUAACUUUUAUGAAAUAUAUACCUGAAUACAAGUGGCAAAGACCGGUGGCUAGGAGGAACGUAAGAGUCAUAGCCUUAGACAUGGUAUAGUUGUCACUAGUCCCUUUUUUUGGUAUGUGGGCGUUCAAGAAUAUGAAGUGUAUAUAUAGCGCUCGACCAAGGCCGUAAGAUUUAAUAAAAAAUUAGCAAGUGC